rnacentral:rRNA from 1 species
GCAGGCUUAAUACAUGCAAGUCGAGGGGCAGCGGGAGUAGCAAUACUGCCGGCGACCGGCGCACGGGUGCGUAACGCGUAUGCAAUCUACCUUUAACAGAGGGAUAGCCCCGAGAAAUCGGGAUUAAUACCUCAUAACAUUAUUGAUUGGCAUCAAUUGAUAAUCAAAGCUGAGGCGGUUAGAGAUGAGCAUGCGUGACAUUAGCUAGUUGGUGAGGUAACGGCUCACCAAGGCGACGAUGUCUAGGGGUUCUGAGAGGAUGAUCCCCCACACUGGUACUGAGACACGGACCAGACUCCUACGGGAGGCAGCAGUAAGGAAUAUUGGUCAAUGGGCGCGAGCCUGAACCAGCCAUGCCGCGUGCAGGAAGACGGCCUUAUGGGUUGUAAACUGCUUUUAUCGGGGAAUAAAUCUUUCUACGAGUAGAGAGUUGAAGGUACCCGAAGAAUAAGCAUCGGCUAACUCCGUGCCAGCAGCCGCGGUAAUACGGAGGAUGCAAGCGUUAUCCGGAUUCAUUGGGUUUAAAGGGUGCGCAGGCGGAUUAUUAAGUCAGUGGUGAAAUCUAACGGCUCAACUGUUAAGCUGCCAUUGAUACUGAUAGUCUAGAGUAUAGUUGAAGUGGGCGGAAUGUGUCAUGUAGCGGUGAAAUGCUUAGAUAUGACACAGAACACCGAUCGCGAAGGCAGCUCACUAAACUAAAACUGACGCUCAUGCACGAAAGCGUGGGGAUCAAACAGGAUUAGAUACCCUGGUAGUCC